rnacentral:lncRNA from 1 species
GCCUGUCGCUUGGAGACGGAGUGACUCCAAACGGGCUCACACGGUUUUCUGAGAAACAUAAAGGGAAACCGAAUCCACCAAUAUAUAUAUAUAUUUUCUUGAGACGGCGUCUCGCUCUGUCACCCAGGCUGGAGUGCAGUGGCGUGAUCUCGGCUCACUGCAAACUCCGCCUCCCGGGUUGACGCCAUUCUUCUGCCUCAGCCUCCCGAGUAGCUGGGACUACAGGCGCCCGCCGCCACGCCCGGCUAAUUUUUUUGUAUUUUAGUAGAGACGGGGAGUCACCGUGUUGCCCAGGCUGGUCGCGAACUCCUGAGCUCAGGCAAUCCGCCCGCCUUGGCCUCCCAAAGUGCUAGGAUUACAGGCGUGAGCCACCGCGCCCGGCCCACCAAUACUCAAUUGGUUUGACUUCAGUUGAGGAAACCAGAAAAAAUUUAAAUAUAUUUAUGGAAAGAAGCUAUUGGGAGAGUGGCUGAGUACUGAGUCUAUCACUACUUGGAUGAUACAGCUUCUGUCUUCAAGAUAAGCAGAAUUGUUCAGAAUCCACUGGAAUCCAAAUUCAACUUGGGCCUCAAUUUCUGCAGAUGGACACCUCUGGACUCCAAAAAAUCCAAGGACAUAAAAAACUUAAGCAGCCUUUAUUACAUUUAGUUCAACAAGUUUAAAGUAGUCUAAAACCAGCCUCUGCCUGAUCAAACUAGAAGGCCAGAAACAGAGGGCAGCUGAAGGAAACAGCUCACUCAAGAUGCCAACCAGGCCUCUGUUCAUGCCAUCAUGGAUAAGAUCUAUUUUUGAGGGUCUAAUUAAGUUAAGAACUA